rnacentral:lncRNA from 1 species
GCCUGAGAAUGGCUUGGUAAAUCCAACCAUCAUCAGAUAGUUCAUCAAAGUCAUCAUAUGAUGAAUGAUAAUUCUAUCAUUCAGAGAGAAUAUUAGAUGGAUAGCACCUACAAUGUCAAUCAAAAAUAAUGGAUCCAUUAUCACUCAUCUUAAUGGGAGGUGAUGAUCUAGUUAUCACCAUAACCAGCUUAUUUUAAGGACCUAAUAAUUUAAAAAAUUUAAUUGAUUUAGAGAAGAGAAGAAAAGAUCAAUCAAUAGACCAUAAUCCUUCCACUAACUUCAUCAAGUCACUGAAUCGGGUUAGGUUAUGCUGAUUGAACUGACACCUAAAUCAAUCACACUGAUCAACCUUAAUGGUAUGGGCUAACUCAAAUCACUUAGUGAUCUAAUCAAAAUCUAGUUCACCAAAUUGGCCAGAUAAGUGAGAUCGGUGGGAGGGUUUACUAAGCUUAUCUUAGACACCAUCAAAAUGAUCAGGUAAGUCGCUCCCAAUUAAAAACCAUCGGUUGAAAUGCCAAACUUACCUUAGACACUGAUUGGUUAACUAGUUUUGAUUUGACCAACCUAAUGGUUUGGGUUCAACCACUGAGCCGUAAUCAAGAUCCAUUGGUCUAAUCAAAGAUAUGGACUUGACCAUCUACAACUAUUGUACUAGAGAAACUCUGAUUAAUCUAAUUCAAUAUUUGGUUAGACUUAAUCAAUUUCUCUACAUGAUCAAUCAAUUCUUUGAUUCUAACCUUAGGUCUAACUCAAUUAAAGAGAAGGACUUAAUUUGAGCUAACCCAUACUG